rnacentral:misc_RNA from 1 species
AUAUGAAAACCUUAGACGGUAUAAAUACCCAUUUGAAACAAGUUUAAAAUAUGUCCAUAAUGUUAUUAUUUCCACUUUUUAAAUAUCUAACCAUAUUGAACAGUGCGGGGAGUCAUGAUCAGCCCCUUAAAGAGUACUUCUUCCCAGUAAACGCCUGAAACUUUGGCUCUUCGCUCUUCGGAGGCUCCUCCUUUGUUUCUUUACCAGCCACCUUUGGUUGGGCUUUCGGAGCAUUUGCAUUCGAACCAAAUACGAGCUUUCCGCUAGUUUGACGUGAACUGCUGCCCUGAGAAGUGGAUGCUGUAGAGGGCUUCAAUCCGUUGGUAGCUUCCGACUGAGGAGAUUUACCUGGGGAGAAGACAGCCGGGCCCUG